rnacentral:rRNA from 1 species
GACGAACGCUGGCGGCAUGCCUAACACAUGCAAGUCGAACGAGACCUUCGGGUCUAGUGGCGCACGGGUGCGUAACGCGUGGGAACCUGCCCUUAGGUUCGGAAUAACUCCCCGAAAGGGGUGCUAAUACCGGAUAAUGUCUUCGGACCAAAGAUUUAUCGCCUUUGGAUGGGCCCGCGUUGGAUUAGCUAGUUGGUAGGGUAAAAGCCUACCAAGGCGACGAUCCAUAGCUGGUCUGAGAGGAUGAGCAGCCACACUGGGACUGAGACACGGCCCAGACUCCUACGGGAGGCAGCAGUGGGGAAUAUUGGACAAUGGGCGAAAGCCUGAUCCAGCAAUGCCGCGUGAGUGAUGAAGGCCUUAGGGUUGUAAAGCUCUUUUACCCGGGAAGAUAAUGACAGUACCGGGAGAAUAAGCUCCGGCUAACUCCGUG